UACGGGAGGCAGCAGUGGGGAAUAUUGCACAAUGGGCGCAAGCCUGAUGCAGCCAUGCCGCGUGUAUGAAGAAGGCCUUCGGGUUGUAAAGUACUUUCAGUCGUGAAGGAAGGUGUUAAGGUUAAUAACCUUAGCAAUUGACGUUAGCGACAGAAGAAGCACCGGCUAACUCCGUGCCAGCAGCCGCGGUAAUACGGAGGGUGCGAGCGUUAAUCGGAAUUACUGGGCGUAAAGGGCACGCAGGCGGUUAAUUAAGUUGGAUGUGAAAUCCCCGGGCUUAACCUGGGAAUGGCAUUCAAGACUGGUUAGCUAGAGUCUUGUAGAGGGGGUAGAAUUCCAUGUGUAGCGGUGAAAUGCGUAGAGAUGUGGAGGAAAUACCGGUGGCGAAAGGCGGCCCCUGGACAAAGACUGACGCUCAUGUGCGAAAGCGUGGGGAGCAAACAGGGAUUAGAUACC
rnacentral:rRNA from 1 species